GGCACAUGGCACAUGGCUCUUGAAUAACAUCCGAUGUGUCUCUCUUGUUUAUAAGAAUUUAAAACCCAUUCAAAGAUUGUGAUUUAUGCGUCCCUGGGGCUGUGAACCAGAAUGAAAGAGCCCAGGACAUUGAUGAAGACAAGGAAAGAAGACACCUGAGAAGAACCAGAAAUAUAAAAGUGACAGGUUGGAAUACAACCAUUUGGGACAUUUUUUUUGUAGAUGAAAGUUUAUUUUACUGUAGAAAUGUAAUGAUCUUUAACUCAAUAUAUCAACAACAAAUGUAAACUUA